rnacentral:rRNA from 1 species
GCUGGUGCUACCUGCAGUCGAACGAGAAAUCCGACACUCAGGCAACCGAGUGUUAGAGAGUAAAGUGGCGCACGGGUGAGUAACGCGUGGGUAACCUACCCUUGAAACCGGGAUAACCCCGCGAAAGCGGGACUAAUACCGGAUGUGGUUCCAUCAGCCUAGGCUCUUGGAAUUAAAGGUGACCUCUUCAUGAAAGUUGCCGUUCAGGGAUGGGCUCGCGUACCAUUAGCUUGUUGGUAGGGUAAUGGCCUACCAAGGCUACGAUGGUUAGCUGGUCUGAGAGGAUGAUCAGCCACACUGGAACUGGAACACGGUCCAGACUCCUACGGGAGGCAGCAGUGAGGAAUUUUGCGCAAUGGGGGAAACCCUGACGCAGCAACGCCGCGUGAGCGAAGAAGGCCCUUGGGUCGUAAAGCUCUGUCAAGUGGGAAAAAGGUCUUUCGAUUAAUACCCGGAAGAUUUGAUGGUACCACUGGAGGAAGCACCGGCUAACUCCGUGCCAGCAGCCGCGGUAAUACGGAGGGUGCAAGCGUUGUUCGGAAUUACUGGGCGUAAAGGGCGUGCAGGCGGUUUGGCAAGUCAGGCGUGAAAGCCCUGGGCUUAACCCAGGAAGUGCGUUUGAAACUGCCUUUCUUGAGUAUGGGAGAGGAGAGUGGAAUUCCCAGUGUAGAGGUGAAAUUCGUAGAUAUUGGGAGGAACACCCGUGGCGAAAGCGACUCUCUGGACCAAUACUGACGCUGAGACGCGAAAGCGUGGGGGAGCAAACAGGAUUAGAUACCCUGGUAGUCCACGCUGUAACGAUGAGAACUACGUGUAGCGGUAU